CGAGCGAAACCCUUGUCCUUAGUUGCUAGCGGGUAAAGCCGAGGACUCUAAGGAGACUGCCGGUGUUAAACCGUGAGGAGGGUGGGGACGACGUCAAGUCAUCAUGGCCUUUAUGUCCAGGGCUACAAACGUGCUACAAUGGCCGGCAUAAAGGGAGGCAAAACCGUGAGGUGGAGCAAAUCUCAAAAAUCCGGCCCCAGUUCGGAUUGGAGGCUGCAAUUCGCCUCCAUGAAGUUGGAAUCGCUAGUAAUCGCGUGUCAGCUACAACGCGGUGAAUGUGUUCCUGAGCCUU
rnacentral:rRNA from 1 species